rnacentral:sRNA from 1 species
AAUACCGCCACAUUUCACCAAUUGUAUAUAAAGGAAAUCCUCAACCAUCUUUGAGCAUAGAUAGGUACAGUACAAUUUGUUAGGAAUCCAAAAUAUUAAGGUAGAACCAUCAAUCGCCCUUGUAUCUAAUCAAAACAUAUCUCCUGUAUGAACCUCCAGAUGUUAACAUUAGUAUGUAUACUUGCAGCAACCCAAUCUGUAUUGUAUACUGCCAGAUCUUCAUACGGUAUGCAGCCAGGCAGGCAGAUGUAGAGAAUUGGAAGUGAUCGACUUUGCCGAACUAGCACGAAAUCUCCACCUAAGAGCUCUCAUCAUCAUCAUCAUCAUCAUCAUCAUCAUCAUCAUCAUCAUCAUCAUCAUCAUCAUCAUCAUCAUCAUCAUCAUCAACCAUCUGCAUAACAUAAUAAAUAGUUAUAUAUUCCAGAAGUGAUAGCAGAUAUAGAGAAUACGUCGAAAGACUUCGGGUUAACAGUUAGAUAGAUAAUGCAAGAAUAUUGGAUGCAGUCUAUAUCAAGUUGAAAUAACAAGGUAAGAAUAACCCGAUAUCAAAAUGCUUAUCUACAUUGAUUAAUACCAAAAUCAAAUCAAAUAAGAACUUGAAUCCCCAAACCUCUUGCGUGCCUGAAUUGAGAUGUAUUAAUGGGAGGGGGGGGUGAUCUCCAAUCUGUUUAUUAUCUGUUUUCGUGCAACCGUUCAUAUUCACGUUUCUCAUCACACAAACGUCCAAAAAGUGAAAAUCAUAUAAGAAAAAAAAAUAAAAAAAAUAAAAAAAAAUAAAAAAAAUUACCCAAAGAAGCAAAUAAAAUUGACCAAUUGCUAGUAGGGAAAAGGAGAGUGACGGGAAUUGGAAGUGAAAGCCGGUUGGGAAAUGAAGAAGUUUCAAUGAGUGAACCGCGCGCGAUGAGGAUUGGGAUUCCAGGAAGGGGUUUGAUAUGGUAUUUUACGAGUUCCAAGAGGAGGGUAACAAGGCGCGCAGGGGCAUGCACAAAUUUGAAAUUUGCUUGAGGGAUUUGAAACUGGGAGGGUGCGGUAGCGUGUCGGGGGUUGCUAGAGGCAAUAGACAGGGGUGGAAGCAAAGCAUGAAAGCAGAGGAUUUCGGGAGGUAUGCGUACUAGAAGCUCGAAUGAUAGGCGGGUUAGAGUUAGAUAGAUGCAUACAAUGCGCGGCGAAAAGAAUGUGACUCCGGAAGAGGAAGAAAAGAAGCAGGAAAGAAGGAAAGAAGGGAAGAAAGAACAAAGACAAGGCAGUCCAUCAAGCAUUCAUCGAGAUAAUCGGGAUACACAGAGGCUCGGAAUCACGGUCCCAAGAAUCUUGGUGCACGCUAGCCUUCGCGUUCCUGACAGAGAUGGCCCGGCCGAUAAGCUGGUGCAGAGUGUUGAUUUGGCGAUGUUGCGUCUCAGAAGUGGAUGCUUGGUGCAGAGAUGAAGGAAAGUUAGACGAUGGCGGCGACGGCUCCCCUGCAGCCUCGUCGUCAACGUUCAGGUAUACCUGGACACUGUCCGCAUGAGCUUCCGUAACCGCGUCCAUUGCGGGGGGAGUUAUGCUCUCCGACCCGGGGAAUAAGAUAUGGUCGCUUUCGAGGGGUGCAAAAAGUACGUACGGCGGUUGUGCCGAGCGUUUUCCGUUCUUGUCGUCCUCGUCCUCGCUCUCUGCGUCAUGGGAGUUGGAUUGAGAGCCGAUGAUGGUACCGGUCUGAGACGCUUCGAUCCAGGGCUCGUUGCUGACAAACCCCACGAUGAAGUCGCUAUGGGUGUCGGCGGUUGCGAGACUGGCUCGUCUGUACUCGUGGCAAAACGCCGGAUCAUCUGUCGCUGGAAGACAAAGUACGAGGCCGCGCGCAUGGAGUGGCGGAGGAGGAUAUGGCGGAAGUGAAGCAGGAGGGUUUCCGUCAUUCGGAUGCUCGUCGUCGUCCGAACAGGGGUCUCCCCCUCCAACGGAUGGCAGAGCAGUGGAAAGCUCUGAGUGUUGGGUGAUCGUGCA